AUUGAACGCUGGCGGCAUGCUUUACACAUGCAAGUCGAACGGUAACAGGCCGCAAGGUGCUGACGAGUGGCGAACGGGUGAGUAAUGCAUCGGAACGUGCCCAGUCGUGUGGGAUAACGCAGCGAAAGCUGCGCUAAUACCGCAUACGAUCUAUGGAUGAAAGCGGGGGACCGUAAGGCCUCGCGCGAUUGGAGCGGCCGAUGUCAGAUUAGGUAGUUGGUGGGGUAAAGGCUCACCAAGCCAACGAUCUGUAGCUGGUCUGAGAGGACGACCAGCCACACUGGGACUUAGACACGGCCCAGACUCCUACGGGAGGCAGCAGUGGGGAAUUUUGGACAAUGGGCGCAAGCCUGAUCCAGCAAUGCCGCGUGCAGGAAGAAGGCCUUCGGGUUGUAAACUGCUUUUGUACGGAACGAAACGGCUCUGGUUAAUACCUGGGGCUAAUGACGGUACCGUAAGAAUAAGCACCGGCUAACUACGUGCCAGCCGCCGCCGUAAAAC
rnacentral:rRNA from 1 species